rnacentral:rRNA from 1 species
GUGGGGAAUAUUGCACAAUGGGCGAAAGCCUGAUGCAGCAACGCCGCGUGAGGGAAGACGGUCUUCGGAUUGUAAACCUCUGUCUUUAGUGAAGAAGACAGUGACGGUAGCUAAAGAGGAAGCCACGGCUAACUACGUGCCAGCAGCCGCGGUAAUACGUAGGUGGCAAGCGUUAUCCGGAAUUACUGGGUGUAAAGGGAGCGCAGGCGGGACUGCAAGUUGGAUGUGAAAUACCGCAGCUUAACUGCGGAGCUGCAUCCAAAACUGUAGUUCUUGAGUGAAGUAGAGGUAGGCGGAAUUCCGAGUGUAGCGGUGAAAUGCGUAGAUAUUCGGAGGAACACCGGUGGCGAAGGCGGCCUACUGGGCUUUUACUGACGCUGAGGCUCGAAAGUGUGGGGAGCAAACAGGA